CUUCCAAAUAAAAGCCAUUUAUACAACACUUCCGCUUACUGGGUAGAAGCUGUAACUUACAGAGUAGGUACACAACACGUGUGGUGUAUGCAUGGAAAUUGCAAUAAAACGAAGAACAAGGAGCUCAACACAUAUGUUGAACUCGUGCAUCAAGUAAUUUGAAGAACAUGCAUUAUACAUGCAGUCUGGCUGUCUGCCCUUGCCCCCUACCGUUUUCGUUUGUUCUUGUGCAACCAUCUAGCUACAGUAAAUCAUACACAGUCAGAAAGGAAACCGGCUAAGAAGGCUCCUUCUGAGGCAUCUCAAUCAAAGCAGAAGUCAAGGUAGAGGAAUGGAGAAGCCUCCCGUUGCCUGCCGCACUGCUGCUUGGGUUCCACCUUGCGAUCUGUUCACCGUCUGCCCUGGUCUGUCUCCCCCUGUAUGGUACAGGUACCCCCGCCACACUCCCCCCUCUCUCCGGAGCUUUCGCUCUCGCCUCCAGCACUCACGCACUGUUGGGGCGAGUGACUCUGAACUUACAAUGGCUAGUCCCAAGUCGUUAUAUUUUUUUAUUGUGCUUGAUGCUAUUUGCCUCAUGACUCCUGCGUGCUUUGUUGACUAUGAACUUGCUUUUUUAGCCAGCCGUGGGAGAGAAUGUUUGUUCCAACACCCGGGACUCUCUCUAUUGGUUACACAGACUUUUGGCCUCCCAUCCUAUUCUAACCACCUCUCGCCAGCUUUGUAUUCAUAUUACCUGAUGAAAUUACUGUACAAUAUGAUCUUGUUGCCAUCUGAUGCACAUUCAAAUGUCAUAAAUCAGCACUGCGGAGCUCUCCCUGUCCUCUGCCGUGCCUUGAUUGUUUUACUGUUGAUGAUAUGUGGAAAUGUGCAUGUACACCCUGGCCCAUCUACUGUUGCUAGCCCCAAUUCUGACUUGUGCUCUGAUAUGAUAUGUGCUUCACUGAUUUCUGCUUUCGUAAAAGCCUGGGUUCUCUGCACGUUAAUACUAGAAGCUUAUUACCUAAAAUGGAUCAAUUGAAAGUGUGGGUUCACAGCUCAAAUCCAGAUGUGUUGGUCAUUACUGAGACGUGGUUAAGGAAGAGUGGGACCACGCAGCCGUCAUACCGCUCAGGAAGGAGACGCGUUCUGUCUUCUAGAGAUUAACUUACUUUGGUGCGAAAAGUGCAAAUCAAUCCCAGAACAACAGCAAAGGACCGUGUGAAGAUGCUGGAGGAAACAGGUCUACACUUGUUGUAUUCGGAGCAUGUGACAAAGUUUGAUUUGAUUUAUUAUAUUUUAUUUGUUCGAACCAUGUUCUUUUAUUCAAAACUUCCAUUGACAAACAAAGCAAAUGCUAGAAUGGAUAUAAACAUGGACAAUCAUGGUUGACACCACAAAUGUUUGAAAUAUGUCUUACAAUGUUCCACUGUGUUUCAAAGUAUUAAUUGUGUUUCAGGUGUUCUGUAUACCUCUGUUGCUGAUGAUAAUUUGUUUAAACAAAUAUAUACAGUACCAGCCAAAAGUUCGGACACACCUACUCAAAGGUUUUUCUUUAUUUUUCCUGUUUUAUACAAUGUAGAAUAAUAGUGAAGACAUCACAACUAUGAAAUAACACAUAUGGAAUCAUGUAGUAACGAAAAAAAGUGUUAAAAAAAAUCUACAUCAAUUUUAGAUUCUUCAAAGUAGCCACCCUUUGCCUUGAUGACAGCUUUGCACACUCUUGGCAUUCAACCAGCUUCAUGAGGUAGUCACCUGGAAUGCUUUUCCAACAGUCUUGAAGGAGUUCCCACAUAUGCUGAGCACUUGUUGGCUGCUUUUCCUUCACUCUCCAGUCCAACUCAUCCCAAACAAUCUCAAUUGGGUUGAUGUCUGAUGAUUGUGGAGGCCAAGUCAUCUGAUUCAGCACUCCAUCAUUCUCCUUCUUGUUCAGAUAGCCCUUACACAGCCUGGAGGUGUGUUUUGGGUCAUUGUCCUGUUAAAAAAACAAAUGAUAGUCCCACUAAGCUCAACCCAGAUGGGAUGCCUUGAAUUCUAACUAAAUCACGGACAGUGUCACCAGCAAAGCACCCUCACACCAUCACACCAUCUCCUCCAUGCUUCAGGGUGUGAACCACACACCAUCUCCUCCAUGCUUCAGGGUGUGAACCUCACACCAUCUCCUCCAUGCUUCAGGGUGUGAACCUCAUACCAUCUCCUCCAUGCUUCAGGGUGUGAACCACACACCAUCUCCUCCAUGCUUCAGGGUGUGAACCACACACCAUCUCCUCCAUGCUUCAGAGUGUGAACCACACACCAUCUCCUCCAUGCUUCAGGGUGUGAACCUCAUACCAUCUCCUCCAUGCUUCAGGGUGUGAACCACACACCAUCUCCUCCAUGCUUCAGAGUGUGAACCACACACCAUCUCCUCCAUGCUUCAGGGUGUGAACCUCACACCAUCUCCUCCAUGCUUCAGGGUGUGAACCACACACCAUCUCCUCCAUGCUUCAGGGUGUGAACCUCACACCAUCUCCUCCAUGCUUCAGGGUGUGAACCUCACACCAUCUCCUCCAUGCUUCAGGGUGUGAACCACACACCAUCUCCUCCAUGCUUCAGGGUGUGAACCACACACCAUCUCCUCCAUGCUUCAGGGUGUGAACCUCACACCAUCUCCUCCAUGCUUCAGGGUGUGAACCUCAUACCAUCUCCUCCAUGCUUCAUGUGGAGAUCCGUUCACUUACUCUGUGUCUCACAAAGACACGGCGGUUGGAACCAAAGAUCUCAAAUUUGGACUCAUCAGACCAAAGGACAGAUUUCCACCGGCCUAUUGUCCAUUGUUCGUGUUUCUUGGCCCAAGCAAGUCUCUUCUUCUUAUUGGUGUCCUUUAGUAGUGGUUUCUUUGCAGCAAUUUGAUCAUGAAGGCCUGAUUCACGCAGUCUGAUGUUGAGAUGUGUCUGUUACUUGAACUCUGUGAAGCAUUUAUUUGGGCUGCAAUCUGAGGUGCAGUAGCUCUGAGGCUGGUAGCUCUAAUGAACUUAUCCUCUGCAGCAGAGGUAACUCUGGGUCUUCCUUUCCUGUGGCGGUCCUCAUGAGAGCCAGUUAACUCUAAUGAACUGAUCCUCUGCAGCAGAUGUAACUCUGGGUCUUCCUUUCCUGUGGCAGUCCUCAUGAGAGCCAGUUUCAUCAUAGCGCUUGAUGGUUUUUGCGACUGCACUUGGAAAACUUUCACAUUUCUUGAAAUUUUCCGUAUUGACUGACCUUCAUGUCUUAAAGUAAUGAUGGACUGUCGUUUCUCUUUGCUUAUUUGAGCUGUUCUUGCCAUAAUAUGGAUUUGGUCUUUUACCAAAUAGGGCUAUCUUCUGUAUACCACCCCUAGCUUGUCACAGCACAACUGACUGGCUCAAAUGCUUUAAGAAGGAAAGAAAUUCCACAAAUUAAAUUUUAACAAGGCACACCUGUUAAUUGAAAUGCAUUCCAGGUGACGACCUCAUGAAGCUGGUUGAGAGAAUGCCAAGAGUGUGCAAAGCUGUCAUCAAGGCAAACGGUGGCUAAUUUGAAGAAUUUAAAAUAUAUUUAGAUUUGUUUAACACUUUUUUUGGUUACUUUUGGUCCAUAUGUGUUAUUUCAUAGUUUUGAUGUCUUCACUAUUAUUCUAUAAUGUAGGAAAUAGUAAAAAUGAAGAAAAACCCUUGAAUGAGCAGGUGUGUCUAAACGUUUGACUGUUACUGUAUAUAUCCUUUUGUACACUGUAUUAAAAAAGAUAAUUACAAGCUUGGGACCAGGCUAA